rnacentral:rRNA from 1 species
AUUGAACGCUGGCGGCAGGCCUAACACAUGCAAGUCGAACGGUAACAGGAAGAAGCUUGCUUCUUUGCUGACGAGUGGCGGACGGGUGAGUAAUGUCUGGGAAACUGCCUGAUGGAGGGGGAUAACUACUGGAAACGGUAGCUAAUACCGCAUAACGUCGCAAGACCAAAGAGGGGGACCUUCGGCCUCUUGCCAUCGGAUGUGCCCAGAUGGGAUUAGCUAGUAGGUGGGGUAACGGCUCACCUAGGCGACGAUCCCUAGCUGGUCUGAGAGGAUGACCAGCCACACUGGAACUGAGACACGGUCCAGACUCCUACGGGAGGCAGCAGUGGGGAAUAUUGCACAAUGGGCGCAAGCCUGAUGCAGCCAUGCCGCGUGUAUGAAGAAGGCCUUCGGGUUGUAAAGUACUUUCAGCGGGGAGGAAGGGAGUAAAGUUAAUACCUUUGCUCAUUGACGUUACCCGCAGAAGAAGCACCGGCUAACUCCGUG